UAUUAGGUUGGUGCAAAAGUAAUUGAGAGUUGUACCAUUGCUUGAAUUAAUUACUUGACUGCAAUUACUUUUGCACCAACUUAAUAAU
rnacentral:miRNA from 10 species